AAGUGCAUUGAAAAAUGUUGCUUCCAUAAGAAGAAGAGAAGCACAUAAUAAUUAUAUGGCCAAGGCUACCACAAAUGAUAACAAUUCCCUUUUACACUUGGAGAACUUGACGCUCCCUUCGUUUCAGGUUGUAGUGAUAGCAGCAAAUAUGGGGUGCAAUGGGUGCAGAGGGAGAGUUUCCAGAGUUGUAUCUAAAAUGACUGGUUGACAGAGUACACAGUGGAUGUGCGCAAGAAAGAAGUAACUAUUAAGGGAGAUUUCAUAGCAAAUUGCAAUUUCCAGAAUGAAACCAUUAGCAGCAACACCCUGCAGAGUGCGAACGAUCCACCCAAGUCCCUGUCUACAUUUUUAACUCACUCUGACCAACAUUAAUCAAACAAAAGGUAUAUCCUAGUUACGAAGUUUAAAUUAUAAAGCUCACUCGUGCCGCAAAGAAACACAAGAGGCAGCCUAAGCACUCAAAUUUAUGCUACUUGAUACGAGAUUAAUUCAUUUGUUUUAUAGACCAGUUUAGCCAUUUUUUGUAUAGGGAAACAAAAUGCCUUAACUUAUUUUCCCUUAUAUCAUCACAUGCUCCUAAACACAACCAAUUAGAAACUUAAAAUAACAUUAAAACAACUUCUA